rnacentral:rRNA from 1 species
UGGGGAAUAUUGCACAAUGGGCGAAAGCCUGAUGCAGCAACGCCGCGUGAGUGAUGAAGGCCUUCGGGUUGUAAAGCUCUGUCUUCUGGGACGAUAAUGACGGUACCAGAGGAGGAAGCCACGGCUAACUACGUGCCAGCAGCCGCGGUAAUACGUAGGUGGCAAGCGUUGUCCGGAUUUACUGGGCGUAAGGGAUGUGUAGGCGGAUACUUAAGUCAGAUGUGAAAAUCCCGGGCUUAACUUGGGAACUGCAUUUGAAACUGGGUAUCUAGAGUGCGGGAGAGGAAAGUGGAAUUCCUAGUGUAGCGGUGAAAUGCGUAGAGAUUAGGAAGAACACCAGUGGCGAAGGCGACUUUCUGGACCGUAACUGACGCUGAGGCAUGAAAGCGUGGGGAGCAAAC